rnacentral:rRNA from 1 species
GACGAACGCUGGCGGCGUGCUUAACACAUGCAAGUCGAACGGAAAGGCCCUGCGUGUGUGGGGUGCUCGAGUGGCGAACGGGUGAGUAACACGUGUGUAACCUGCCCUUGACUUUGGGAUAACUUCAGGAAACUGGGGCUAAUACCGUAUAGGAGCUCCUGCAGCAUGGUGGGGGGUGGAAAGUCUCGGCCGGCGGGGAUGGACUCGCGGCUUAUCAGCUUGUUGGUGGGGUAGUGGCUUACCAAGGCUUUGACGGGUAGCCGGCAUGAGAGGGUGACCGGCCACAUGGGGCCUGCGGUAGGCAGCAGUGUCGAAUGGGAGGCAGCGGCGGGGAGUCUGGCACAGUGGGCGCAAGUCUGAUGCGGAGGCGUCGCGUGCGUGAUGCCGGCUUGCGGGUUGUGAACCGCAUUAGCCUGUGACGCAGCGUGAGUGACGGUAAUGGGUAAAGAAGCACCGGCUAACUACGUG